GAUGAACGCUGACAGAAUGCUUAACACAUGCAAGUCAACUUGAAUUUGGGUUUUUAACUUAGGUUUGGGUGGCGGACGGGUGAGUAACGCGUAAAGAACUUGCCUCCCAGCUAGGGACGACAUUUGGAAACGAAUGCUAAUACCUAAUAUUAUGUUAAUAGGGCAUCCUAUAAUUAUGAAAGCUAUAAGCGCUGUGAGAGGGCUUUGCGUCCCAUUAGCUAGUUGGAGAGGUAACGGCUCACCAAGGCGAUGAUGGGUAGCCGGCCUGAGAGGGUGAUCGGCCACAAGGGGACUGAGACACGGCCCUUACUCCGACGGGAGGCAGCAGUGGGGAAUAGUGGACAAUGGACCGAGAGUCUGAUCCAGCAAUUCUGUGUGCACGAUGAAGUUUUUCGGAAUGUAAAGUGCUUUCAGUUGGGAAGAAACAAAUGACGGUACCAACAGAAGAAGUGACGGCUAAAUACGUG
rnacentral:rRNA from 1 species